AUUGAACGCUGGCGGCAUGCCUUACACAUGCAAGUCGAACGGCAGCGGGCCUUCGGGUGCCGGCGAGUGGCGAACGGGUGAGUAAUGCAUCGGAACGUGCCAUUGAGUGGGGGGAUAACGUAGCGAAAGUUGCGCUAAUACCGCAUAUUCUGUGAGCAGGAAAGCAGGGGACCGCAAGGCCUUGCGCUCUUUGAGCGGCCGAUGUCAGAUUAGCUAGUUGGUGAGGUAAAGGCUUACCAAGGCGACGAUCUGUAGCGGGUUUGAGAGGAUGAUCCGCCACACUGGAACUGAGACACGGUCCAGACUCCUACGGGAGGCAGCAGUGGGGAAUUUUGGACAAUGGGGGCAACCCUGAUCCAGCCAUGCCGCGUGAGUGAAGAAGGCCUUCGGGUUGGUUAAAGGACUC
rnacentral:rRNA from 1 species